AAUUGGGAAGUAUAAAAUUUAAAAAUUGCUGUUUAUGUAAUUUGUUAAAAUGAAGGAAAAUGUAAUUCAUGUCAAUACAAAUUGGUAUACAAGACACCUAACAUUAGCGAUAACUUCACGUUACAUUAGUAUUAACAACGGGUGCAGUGUUUGUCAUUCGUAUAUUGUUGGUUUUUAAUAUUUAAGGUCGCUUAAUGUUAUUAAAAUAUGAUCUUCCACCAUAGAUUAUUACGCACGUGUAUUUGUUUUUAAACUCUACUGUAAAUUGUAGUUUCUAUCGCAUGAAAUGUUGACUUUAACCUCAAUUUAUUAAGUUCUAUGUGGACGAUCAAGGGAAUUAUUCAUACUAAUCUGAAAUGAGUGAUAAUCAUUAACUGUGUGCGUGUGCUGGAAGUGGACAAAGAAGUAAAAUUUCAACAAUUAGUGAGCAAUAGUAAGUGGGUAGAACAAUAUAGAAAGAAAAGGACUGAAAUAAGGAAAAGAAAAAGAAACGCGGCACUACUGAUAAUUACGAUUAUGUGCAACUCCAUCACUUUCGUAUGAAACUUAACAGGGAAACAGUGUGGAUCAUAUUGCAGUCAUAUUCAUAAUGGAUUUUAAAUAAACGUAGAGGGUAGAAAAUGUCGAUCUGUAAAAAAAGAUUCACGUGGGGGACCUGUUCAAGAUUCGAACUCGGAUUUCAUCUAUACCAAGGGCGCUAUACACUGCGCCAUUAAACCCCACCGAUCUCCCUUAUUUUUCCGGGUCCUUUCUCUCACUGGAUUCGCCUAUAGGAGGCGCUUCCAAUAAUCAGUACGAAGAAGAACGUACGAGUGAAACGAUGUUGUAACUAACGGCCAAAAUGGAAGAGCAAAGCGUUCAUAGCAGUAUCAGUGAUAUAAAUAGUGAAGAGGCAGUUAGAAGUGAGCCUGUGAUUAUACCACGCAAAAAAAGGAUAUGCCUGAUCGGUGAAACUUGCGACGAUGCUGCACUGGGCGUAGCUGCCCAGCAGUUUUGUGUGCCUGUUCUUAAAUCGGAAACAGGUUUAGAAUAUAUAGAAGAUACAACAUAUUGUACUUACUUCGUAUUGAAACAAUUUGAGGGACCUGAAUAUGAUGAUCUUCAUAAAAGUGCCCAUAGAAUAUUGGGACCGACGGCACUUCUGCAGUUGGCAGAAAGGAAGGACUCGCUACCUAGUAUUAAUAGACCAAUGUAUACACAAGCUAUGGUAGGCACGGUAGUAGUAUUUACUGGAUUUAGAAAAAAGGAUGAAUUGACCAAGUUGAUCAACAUGAUUCAUAAUAUGGGUGGAAGUAUUAGAAAGGAGAUGGGAGCAAAGGUGACGCAUCUCAUUGCUAAUUGUUGUGGCGGUGAUAAGUAUAGAUAUGCUGUUACAUUUCGGGUGCCUAUAAUGUCAAUGGAUUGGGUAACAGCUUUAUGGAAUGCCAAAGACGAUAUUUCUAACUAUGGAAAUAAUGAAGAUCUGAUCACAACUUAUAAAUUAAAACCAUUUUUUGGUGCAAAAGUAUGCUUCUUUGGUUUCCCUGACGAAGAAAAACGUCACAUGUGUGAAGUUCUUCAACAACAAGGUGGUGAAUCUACAGAAAUUGAUGAUCCAAAUUGUACACAUGUGGUUGUGGAUGAAUCAAAUGUAAAUGCAUUACCGGAUUUAGCUUCUGUGAGAGCUCAUAUUGUAAAAGCUGAAUGGUUUUGGACAUCUGUACAAAAUGAGGGCGCAGCUGAUGAGAAGGAGUAUUUAUUCGAAGAUUACUUGGAGUCUGUUUUAUCGCCAACUAUAUCAGCUAGACGAGAUAGUCAACAAACUACAACUCCGAGUACAGCGUCUACAAGACGAAAACGUAAACGUUUAGCAGAAACUUUAUCUAGUUUGGUUCAGAAUGGUGCAGAUUCACCAGCCUUGCAUAAGAGACGAUCCAGUAUCAGUGAUGCAGGACUUUUAAGUGUUAGUGGAAGUUUCCUUGAUUGCACAGCAAGUCCAGAUAAACCAUUACUCGAUGAUAUUCCAGAAGUGGAAGCUGUUAACACAGAUACCUCUAGGAAAAAUUUAUCACCCCGACAUCAAGUUUUUUUAGAAUUAGUACAAACGGAAUCAAAUUACGUUGGCAUUCUCAGUACAAUUAUGACGUUGUUUAAGUCACCAUUAGAAGAUCUCAUAGAUACAAGUGGCGAGUUAUUAAAUGGCACAGAAGCUAAAAUUAUAUUUGGUAAUUUUCCACCCAUUUAUGAAGUUCAUAAAAAAAUGUUAGAAGAAUUAAAAUAUAGUGCUACACAUUGGAUGGAGGACAUUAGCAUAGGUAAUAUAUUUCUGAAGUUUGCACCUGACUUAGUCAAGGCAUACCCAUCGUAUGUCAAUUUCUUCGAAAAUACAAAGGAGAUGCUCGAUCAGUGUGAUCAAAACAAACCAAGAUUUCACGCUUUUCUGAAAGUUUGUCAGACAAAACCUGAAUGUGGUCGACAAAGUUUAAAGGAGUUAUUGAUCAAGCCAGUACAAAGGUUACCCAGUAUUAGUUUAUUAUUAAAUGAUAUCCUUAAACAUACAAAUAAAAAUAAUCCAGAUCACAGCGCAUUGGAAUUGUCAAUUAGCAGUAUUAAGGAAGUCAUGACGUAUAUAAAUGAAGAUAAAAGAAAAACUGAGGGCCAAUUAGUUAUGUUCGACAUUUUCAAUGAAAUUGACAACUGUCCACCGCAUUUAGUUUCUUCACAUCGAUCAUUUAUUGGAAAAUGUGAUGUGAUGGAACUUAGUGAAGGUUUAAGCGGGCGUGGUGAUCAUUUAGUUUUGUUCCUGUUUUCUGAUACACUUGAAAUAUGUAAGAAAAGGUCAAAAGCCUUUAAUUCAUUAAAGAGUCCUAAUACAGCAAAUGGAUUUCAUACAGCUAAAUUAAGUCAAGGCAAACCAUAUAAACAUAUCAAGAUGUUAUCAUUAAGUACAAUAAAAAAGGUUGUUGAUAUACGAGAAACUGACGAAUGUCAUAAAGUAUUUGCUUUAACGGUGAGAAGUAAUCAAGAGUUAAAAGAAAAACUGUUUUCAUUUACAAUCACUGACGAAGAAGUAAAUAAGACAAAUUAUUUACGGACUUUGUGCAGACAAAUGGCUAAUACAGUAUGCAAAGCUGAUGCGGAUACGUUCCUGAUCAGUCUUGAUUCGCAUCAGCUUCAAAUUGACACAAGUGAUGUAGCAUUAGGAACAUUAAGUAAAGCAUUUAAGAGCCUAUUUCAUAAUUUUUACCUGGAGUAUAUGGACCCGUAUGUGUUCCUACUCAAUAGCAUGUGUGAAACCACGUUACAUGUCCCACUACCGUUUGCAUCUCGCACAAGGAUGAAAGUUGGCAGAGCGUUUAGUUUUAACAAAACCCCGAGUAAAUUGAAAAGAGCAAUGUCAACGAUGAUGUCGCCAUUUGGAUCAACUAACAGCCUUACUCCAGCAAGUCAACAACUUGCACAGAUGCGGCUUGCUAGUUGCAACAAUAUUAAUGAGCUGGGUAAUAGUGGUUCAAGUUCGCCAUCUAGAGAUGAUGUUCUAGUAGCACCCAUGUCGGUUCAACCGACACGAAAGGCCAAAUGCAGUUCCCUCACUAUGACUCCAUUAAGAAGGUUGUAAUUAGUGUCAGAAGCAAUGCAUUUUUGUUUUUGCUACUAUUGCAUAACCACAUUUGGUCAACUUUCUCAUUGUUAAUAAAUUGUUCAGAGGAAGUCAUGCAGGACAAAUCCGAGCUUUGAAGUGCAGGGUAUGAUAAUGUGCAAUUGAGUCAUACCUUUUUCUUUGGCGUCAAUGAAAAGCCUACAUGAAAAAGUAGAGAGGAUCGGAAACGUUUAUGGAAAGAUGAGUUUUUAUAAUAUGAUCAUAGUGUUGAUCUUGGAAAUCCACGAAUGUGUAAAAUAUUCAUGUAAAGGGCAGACACAAGAAAGAUGCCGUCUGUAAAUUACUAUAUAUGAAUUAAAAUGUUCUACUUGCCAUGUGCCAACAGAACCACAUGUGUUUUAUAAGGAAAAUGUACAUUGCCAGUUAUUCUUUAAGAAGUUACAACUAUAUGUUAACGAUGUACCGUAUUUAAUACCGUAUCGAUCGUUAAUUUUGAUAUAUGACAUUCAGAUAAUUCAAGUGCUUGCCUCAGGAAGACAGAUGGAAUUGGAUUUACAGAAAGUAAAAGGACAUUAGAUUUCCAGUGCUAUAAUACAAAUCUUACUAUGAUACACCUUUUAUAAGAAAUGAAAGUACGAAUAUUAUUUUUGUGCCAUUUAAUUUUAUCGUAUAAGGUACAUUUAGAAUUUAUUAGAGCGUUAGAGACAAUUUGUGCUCCGUUAAAGAGAAAAAAAGAAAUGUGCAACGUUAAUUCAUUAAAUUAAUAUUAACUAUACAUUUCUUACAUAAGCUUUAAUUCAACUGCCAUGUUUAAUACCAUUGCAGUUUUAAUUCAUGAGUGUAAAUUGCAAUAAUUCACUAUGGCUUCAUCAUCCUCAUUAUUGUUAUCUUUAUUCAGAUUAAUUUGCUUUGAUUUUCAUUUCUCUCAUUAGAAUUGUGUACGGUAUAGUGCCACUGGAAAUUGUAGUUCUGUUAAAAGCAAAUGUAUAUUGUAGUAUGUUUAUUUCUUUUUUAUAACUGUGUAAUUGCAUUAGAAUAAGAUUUUCAAAGGGAUUAUACGAUGAUAUGGUGAAAGAAAAUUAGAUUUGAAACGCGUUAAUAUCGAGACUUCUUCUAAAUAAUCUACCAUGUAAUAUGAAAUAGUUGUAAAAAGUCAUAAUUUAUUAUAGUAAACGCCACUCGACUGGCAUAUCGAAGCUAUUCUGCUUAUACCGAUGUCUAUUUCACUUUUCUGUGCAACGCUCGAAACAAAAAAGGCAGCGAUAUAGGCAGAGUGGCCUUGGCAGACUAAUUUGCAAUGGCGAUUACUAUAACAUUACAUUGCUAUUACUUUGUUUAAUUCUCCAAUUAUACGCUUAUUGUAAUUGCUGACUUUAUAAAAAUUUACAUUCAAAUAUGUAGUUGAUCACUUAGAUUAUAAUCUAUUCUGAUGUCUACAUUUCAAAUGCAUAAAUGUUUAUGUUUUUAUUAAAUACGAAGUAUAUUUCAUUAAUUCGACCACAGGUCUGAAGUAUUCGUAUAGCCGUUUAUAUGUUUUUCAAUUAUAUUAAUCGUAUAUGUGAUUUAUAAUAAUGUAAAUCUUCUUAAAAUAUUCGAUUAUCGAGCAGCGUGAACGAUUGUGCGAUUCAUAAUAAAUAUAAAAAUAGAAUAUUGGUACAAAAUCAAAAUCACUAUUUUCUGUGUCGUAAUGUUUUUGGAUGCACAAUAACUGUUUCUAGCAUAUUAUAAUACUAUAUCUAGAACUACAUUUUAUCCAUAGUAUAAAAGAAAUAUUUGUAAAUAUUUCAGCUCAAAGAGCAGUUUAUUAAAGGAACAUAUCACAAGAUUUGGAAGAUAUUUGUCAUAUCGUUAAAAAAAGUGAAAAGCAAAUCAUAGUUUGAAGUAUUUCUCUCGGUAACCACAAAGAAUUUAAAUAGUUUCUUAUUUCGAUUGUAAAUAAAAUCUCUCUGAAUAUAUAAAUUUUUCUUUCUCUGAACAUUAAUCAAAUAUUAUGAUAAUUGUGGUAUGACAAAGUUACUUUUAUAUUAGUUUAAUCAUUUUGAAAUUUUCUUGCGCAAAGAUUAAAUUUUGAAUGAUUAAGUUAUAAAAUUAAUAAAAUUUAUUUCUGCCAUAUUAUAAAAGAAACAUUAAGGUGUCAAAUUGUCAGAUUUAGUUAAAACUUGUGUCGCAGAAAAUAAAUAUGUGAUGCGUGUAAAGGUACAAGAGAUACAAUAUACUAUUUUUACACACAAAAUAUUACCAAUCAAUACAAUAAACAAAUUGAUCGAUUGUAUGGAUUUAAUAGUAUGUAUGUAACUUGUUGAUAAUUUAAAUAUAAUAUUUGGAAGAGUAUUGUUUCAUGAAACAUAAGCGUCAAUUAUAUUUGAAGUCCUUGUGGAUUUAAUAAUGAAAUGUACUCUUUGCAAUCUUUUCUCGUGUCCAAUAAUCAGUUUAAUUGCCUUUAACGUUAACGAGAAUACAAAGAAUUGAUCAGUAAUAUUCUCGUUCAAUUGACACGAUGAUUCAAAUUGAAAGAUUGCAAGGAAUAUAAACGAAAUGUUGUUAAUUCUUUACAAGGAUUCACCGAAGUUCGUGCCUCAUUAACACUUCUGCAAAAUAUCUAUUUAAGUAAUGUGCCUUCUCAUGAAAAGGACCAUUAAAUACAAAAAUUUUCUCAAUGUUUGGUGUGAGAGAUAAGAAAAAAUCCAUAGAUGAUAUUUUUGUAAUUCUUCAUUUAGCACUCGAAGUGCGUUCUUGCGCGUAAUUACGGAUGCUCUGGCAGUACUUCGUAUCUCGAUUUUUAACUUAUAUUAGAUUUUUAAGGUUUCAGUGUCACCGUUCCAAUGUUUGAUUUCUAUGAAACGGUCUUUUGAUCUUCUGACGAGGCGAACAGCAUCUUCUUAGCACAGUCCAUGGACAAAUAAAAAAUAUAAAAAUAUCUUACAAAACAAUAGAACAUUGGUUGCCCAAUUUAUUUAUAUAAAGACACAUUUGUUAGAAUUAUUUGUCGUAAAAUAUGUAAUUAAUGAGAAAAAAGGUGCACGAAGGUUUUAACUUUUUUGCAGUAAUGGCAUUAGCAGUGAAUUUCAGAAAAGUACCAGUUGAGUUCGGAAUUUAUUUCUGAUAUAUUUUUAUAAAGUCCAUGGACUGUGAUAAAUAUCCUAAUAUUUUAUAACUGUCACAUGUUUGGUAAAUAGUCAAUGUCUCGAUGUUACGGUCAUGGAACUAUUUUUACAUUUGGACUCGUUGAGUUUUACGAACUAGAUGUUCAGCGUCUACUCCCAUAAGGACGGGAAAGAGUACUGUAUAUAUUACCGUUAAGUACCAUGUAAGUGUAGUAUAGCGCAAAAUGAUGUUUUUUACUACACGCGUAAAAAUAUUAUAAUACUUGUAUUUUGUGUAUAGUCGUUACUAUUUAUAUGAUACUGUAAUUGAUUG